rnacentral:lncRNA from 1 species
CUCUAACGUGAGGAUGUCGACUUUCCCCUAAGACAGAAUGUCACUCUCUGCUUCCUGAUCAACGUGUGAGCUGCUUCCCUCUGCCACACUCCUCUGCCCUGACAUCCUGCUGGAGCACCAGGGAAUGAAGCCGCCUUCUAUGGACUGAGACCUCUGAACCCAUGACCCCUGCCUUGUGUAUGCCUUGGCCACUCACCUGCCAUCUGCCGCUGUGGACCUCUGGACUGCUCUGAUGCUGGAUGCUAUCCCCGCCCCAUCUAAGAGAGAACAAGGACUUGGGUGACUUCUCCCAACUUCUCCCACUUUCAGCAGGAAACACUUUGGAGAUGUCCUUGCCCAUUUUUCCAUAGAAAUGGAUUGUAGAAAUUGAUAGUGGGAAAUGUAACAGAGGUCCACUUUAUGCUUGGAAUAUAGCCCUUGCUGCUCUGCCAUGCACCUUAUUUUCAAAAUGAACAUGUUUCUUUCUCUUCCCCUCUACCAGCUCCUCCCUAAUCUUUCCCCCUCCCUAAUCUCUGGGGACAGGGGAUUUCCUCUCUUCCCCUUCUGUCCCUGAGCACACUCCCACCAGAGGAACGAACUAUCUAGACUUUGGGGAUGGACCAGAAGAUCUCAGAAAUGAUUCUCUCCCAAAUUAACAAGUGAAUACAACUCCAGACAGAGAACACAUGGAAUGUGGCCUUUGAGUCACCUCUUUAAAAGCCCCAUGUUCCUGCAGAUGGGCAGAAUCACAGCCUUUGGGACAGGAGUUCCCUGUUUCUCCUUUGCUAGCUAAGCAAUAAACCUUCUUUUUCUUUUUUUUUUUUCUCAAAAAAAGAAAAAAAAGAAUGUCACUGGAGAGCUUUGAGAAGAGAGGCUCACUGCUGAGAAUUAAUUUCAGGGGACCUAGGCAAAAGAAGGGAAAUCAGUCAGGAGUCUUUAAAAUAAAUAGUUUAGAUUGAGUUGGGAGAUUUUAGCUGGAGACCUGGAGAUGGGGAGGGCGAGGUUGGAUUCUGAAGACUGUGAUAACAGACUGUAGGAAAAGUGGGUUCUGUGGGAGAAGACUGCAUUUCCCUGUUAGCUUCACUGUCACUUUUGUCACCUACAGGCCACACAACUGGAACUCAGAAAUGACCAAUUUUCAGCUUCUUACUUUCCCAAACCAUGCUGUAUGCCAUAGGAAUUAAGACUAGGUUGUUUGGGGGAAAUAAAUGCUAGAGCAAUACAAAUUAAUUGGAUAUUUGCCUCAUAUUUUAUUGUUUUGACAUUGUUUUAAAAGGUUAUAUAAACUCCGAAUGGAGCUACAAGUGAUCUAAACACUUCUGCUGCUUUAUUAUAAAUGCUUUUGUAAUCAUGUUAAUUAUAUUACUUUUAACUGAAUAAGGCCUGUGUCUCUUCCUUAUAAAUUGAUGUUUAUAUCCUCUGUAAGAUAAAUAUAAAGCCUUUUUGUUCACAUUUUUAUGUACUUGAGCACCCACUAUAAGAAUGUAGUUGGCAGUGGAUGGUGGAUUUAUAUUAUUAGUCUUAGCUUACUGUUGUAACAUAACAAUUACGCAAAAUAUAUAAUUUGUUUUUGUUAUUUAACGUAGAACUGUAACAGCGUAGACUUAGUGAAGAUGACAUAAGGUACAACAAGGCAAGUAAAUUGCUAUCUAAGUAAAACUUUUACUUCUAAUAUUAGUAGAGUAAUAAAUUUCUCAGUGCUUUCUUUGUUUCCGUGUUCCAAAAUUUCCCUAAACUCUGGUAUAUAUUCAUUGAACAAUAUUUCCUUGAGCUCUGUCUCUCUUUUCAAUGCUGGGAAUGGAAACAUCCUUAGCCCCAAAUAAUAUUUCUGAUUUGAAUAAUUUAGUUUAAGAACAAUGCUGGGUGUGGUGGUGCAUGCCUGUAAUCCCAGUGACUAAGAAGGCUGCAGUAGGAGGAUCACAAGUUCAAAGCCAGCCUCCAUCAUGACUUAGCAAGACCCUAAGCAACUUUGUGAGACCCUGUCUCAAAAACAAAAAGGGUUUUGGUUGUGGCCCAGUGGUUAAGCACCCCUGUGUUCAAUUUCCAAUCCAAAAAAAAUAAUAAUAAUAAUUUAGUUUAAGAAGAAAUAAAGUGUUAACUUUUCCCCAAAUCACUCUCAGUGUUUGUGUUAGCCAGCUUCCUAUUACUGUAACAAAAUACCUGAGAUAAUCAACUUAGAAACAGGAAAGUUUUAUUUUGGUUCACAGUUCUGGAGGUUUAAGUCCAUGGUCAGUAGGUUUCUUUGCUUUGGGGCAGAAUAUCAUUGUGGGCAGUGUGUGGUGGGAAAAACUACUUACCUCAUGGUGGCUGGGAAGCCAAGGAGUGAAGAGUAGGGAAGGGGUCCCAAUAUUCCCUGAUGACCUAACCUCUUCCUUCUAAGUUCCACUUCUUUUUUAUGGUUGUUAAUAUUUUUUUAGUUGUUGAUGUGUCACUUGAUGCUUUAACUAUAUCAUCUCUUCCCAGAUCUUCUCUGAUCUUCUUUUCCCUAACCUCUCCUCCCCUCUUCUCCUCCCUGAUCUCCCGUCCCUAAUCCAUUUUCUCUGAAUCACCUCUUUAAAAGCCUCCUGUUGCUGCUGAUGGAUAGAAUCACAGCCUUUGAGACAGGAGUCCCCUGUGUUUCUCCUUUGCUAGCAAAGCAAUAAACCUUCUUUUUUCCUUU